UUAUAUUAAACCCCGGGUUAUUGUGUUAUUGAUAAAUGAUUAUAUUUUUAAAAUUGAUUUUCAUAUAUUGUUUCGAAAAUUCUAGAUGAUUAUUAUGUGAAUAUAUGUGUGAUGUGAGUAAUUGGUAUUGGUGGAUUUGUUGGUUAAUUAAUUAUGGUUAAUUAUGAGUAUUAUAUGAUUAAUAUAUGAAUUUUUGUUAAUUUUAUAUUAUCUGGUUUAUUGCGUUAACUGCUCAUAUGUGUUCGUAUUUGAGAGAUUUCAAUUUCUAUAUGCUCAGGAGAAAAUAUAGUUUAUUUAAAUAUGUUCAUAUCGAUUUAUGGAUGUUAUAUGAUUUUAUAAUCGAUUUACGGAUUUAAUUGCGUAUAUUUAUAUUUAUUUAUUAAUUAUUUGACUUCCGUAAAACCGUCCACUCGUAACGGGGUAGCAAAUUUUCUUCCCGGAAGUUUCAACAAAACUCACCUUUAGCCUAAUUUGAAUAUUCCGGACAUUUUUCGUGUUUUGACUUUUUAGAUCCGGAGUACGGUUUUCCCCGUAGUCGGUCCGGCGGAGUUUUGCGGGUAUUUUAAUUGUUGAUAAUUAUCUGGUUGUCUCGAUAAACGUGAAACUAGAUAUUUUGAUUCAUCCUUAUCUUGUAAUAAUUGCAGUGGGACCCGCAUACUAAUGACUGAUUAAAAAGCCCCGUUUUGAUGAUUAUCUUGAAAACCAGUACCGAUUGGACCCCGCUUUAUUAAUAUAAAGCUAUUAAAUACGUAUUUUCAUGUCAUAAACGAUCCAAAGGGGUACCAAGUAUUUGUAAAUAUAAAUAGACUUUUCUAUAGCUUAUUUUCACCGUAAAAAUCAUUUCACCAGUUUCUUUUCACGAAUACCGAGAGAAACCGAGCUGCGUUCUUCGUGUUCUUCGUAAUCAAACGAGGAUUUGAAGGUGUUAUUGGAAUCCGAUGGAGGCAUAUGAAUAGUCAAAACGAAGCUAUCGACGCGUAGAAUCAGGUUUAAGCAUCCGUUUAUGUGCAGAUUUUUCAGGAUUUGGACGAGACGUGUACGCUCGAAGACGUCAGAAAGUCGGAAUGGUAUUGCAAAGCGAAUAAGGGAUGAUUGAGUAAGCGAAGCGAAGUGGCGAAUAGAGUAUAGCUAGAGAUGGUCUAGAGAUUACGAGAUGCAUAGAUUGUGAAAGUGGAAAGAUGAGAUAGAGAUGUGAGACUGGAGUCAGAUUUAAGGCAAGUAUCCUACACCCUGCUUUUGGAUAUAUUGCAUAUUCUGAUCCAUUCUUUUCUAUAUGUGCUGCAAGUAUCCUAAACCUUUCUCUUGGAUAUAUUGCAAAUAUUCUGAUCCAUUCCUUUGGUAUAUGUUUCAAGUAUUCAUACCUUUCUUUUCAAUGUUCGAAAGUGCGAGUAUUUUGACCCAUUCUUUCUAAUCUUCAAGUUUCUAAAGAAUUUCCGUUUUACAAAUUAAUUCGAAGUUCAGAUUGUCAUUGAAGCAUGUGUUGCUCAGUGAUAGUUAGAGCUUUGAAUGAAUUGGGAUCUUCUUGAUUAUUCAACCCGCCAUUGUCAUGCUGGUUUAGCAGGCUAAAUUCAGUUGCUUAGCCGAUAAUGGAGGAUACUGAAUAGUUGAGGAUUUCCUGAACUGUGAUUUAUGAAAUGAUGGAUCAUGAUUUAUGAAUAGAUUAUUAUCAAAGUUUGAUUUGGAAUUAUUCUGUUGUUGAUGAUAUUUAUGAUGAUGUUCUGUUAAUUUACAUUGGCUUCUUGAAUUGAAUUAGAGAAUUGGAUUAUUGUUUUUAUAUAAACCUGUGGACCAGAUUCGUGGUCAUGUUAGGCCAAUGAGUGCCUUGGAUCCAGUGAUAGAGCAUGGCGGGGCCUGCUCGGGGUUAGGUAUGUCUGAUCAGCAUCCUAACCUUGGUUUUAAUUAAAAUGUGAUAGUCCAAUUCAAUAAUUCUUUUGGAAAGAUUGAAUUCCUCAGUGUUCAAUUGCUACAAGAAAGGCUUAAAGAUGAGAUGAUUGCUUGAGAUUGUGAAUAAGGCUAAUGCUAGGCGAGGAGACAGAGUUGAGGAUCCAGUGGUCGAGGAGUGUUCAGGAAAGUUGAUGAGGUUGGUGCAAGCUAAAGCUGUGCUAUAGAGAUUCAAGUGUAAGUCAUAGCUGGAAUAGUUGGCAGUGAUUCUUCUUAUCGAAGAUGAUCUGAUUUGGUAAGAGAUGUUGUGUAAUAAUAGUGGUAGAUUCUAAUUUCAAUACUGUAACCUGAAUGCGAUCCUGUUGCUUUUAGGGGGUUUAAAUGUUCUCUUUCGAAUCAUUUAUUAAAGUUUAAAUGUUCUCUUGAAAUUCUCUUAUUAUGGCUUUCAAGUUUUAAACUCUCUGAUUUUAUUAUCUUUUGAAAAAAAAAAAAUAUAUACAGGAUUUCAAAAGUGUUUAAAAAUGGGUUUUAUGUGGUGACGUCAGAAUCCAGGCCCCCGGAUUCUCGGGCUGUCACAGUUGGUAUCAGAGCAACAGGUUAUAAGUAUUUGAAAUUAGAAUAUAGAUUAUAGUUUUAAGUUCUAUUGAUGAGGAAUGUUGUGUAACCUCACAUAGAGGUAUGGUCUGACUAUUUGGAAAUAGUCUAGAGAUGUGAUAGAGGUAUAGAAUCUGGUUAGACGAUCAAGUUGAGUGUAUAAGGUUAGAGAGAUUUGGAUUCCUAAGUUAGACGUAUGAUUUCUAGUAUGUUGACUAGUUGAGAUGAUGAAUUGUGUGAAAGGUCAAGAUUAGACCUAGAUAGAAGAGUUUGAUAGUGAAUGAUUGAGUUGAGAAUGGUGAAAAUGCGGAGUUCAGAGUAUUCUGACUAUACUGCAUAGUUGAAAAUGGUCUAUUGUAUUGACUUGAGAAUGAUAGAAAUGCAUGGUUAUAGUAUGUUGACAAUGUCAGAUAUUUGGAAGAGGUAUGUUGUUUCAGGGAGAUAUGGAGAGUUAGUGUAAGAUAUGAGUUGUACUGAAUUAGAAGGAGAGAUUUGUAGAUAGAAGUGGAUAGAUAAUAAGUGCAUGAUAGAGAGUAUGUGGAAUUGAGUCCAGUUAUUAGAGAUGAUGUCUACGAGUAAGUUAGAACGUUAGUCCUCGACGACAACGCUUCGAGCUAAUCGGGAUUUCAAAUGGCAUCAAGGUGGGCCCAUAACCCACAGGUUGAUGAUCCAGACAAUCGAAGAUACGUUACGUGUUUGUGCUAUGGAUUUCAAAGGCAACUGGGAUAAAGUAGAAGAAUGUAAACUACAUGGACCAGAGUUAUUACGGACGAUAACGUCUACGAUGACAUCUUACGAGGCUAAUACGAGUCAAAUCGAUUGAUCAUCAAGAACGUUGAAAAGAAGACAUAUAUCGUACAAUGAUUUAUGGAAGUGGAGUCGGAAUCUGAGAAGACCUUGGCAAUACCUCUCUUCAACUAAAGAUUCUUUUGAUUGUUUUCUCAUCAGUGAGAUAUUAUCAUGAUAUCUUUUCUACAAAAGUUUUGAUAAAUGAGAUCUUCAAUUUCUCAAAUUCUAAGAUGACAUUGAUAUUGAUUAUUGGUAUGAGUUGGAAAGCAAGGAUGUGUGAUAAAGGCGUGUUUAUGAAGAGACAGUGGAAUUCCUUGAUAUUCUUUGAUAUCCCUUGAUAUUCUUUCAUAUUCUUUGAUAUCCCUUAAUAUUCGUUGAUAUUCUUUGACACUCUUUGAUAUUCCUUGAUAUCUUUUCGAUAUUCCUUAAUAUAUUCCUCGAUAAUCCUUAACAUUCCUUGAUGCUCCUUGAGAUUUCUUGGAUUCUUUCCAUCUGAUUGGGAUGAACAACCCUAUGUAUAGGGGACACAAGGUAUACCUGUCUGUGUGAUAGGAGUUGGAUGGGACGCCAUCACUUGUGUGUGUUGUGAUUACAAGAAGGUUAACAACCUUUAGUAGUGUCUAAUAUGGACACGCAACAUUAAGUUCAUUUGAUCGUAUUGAUCUCCCAGUCACUAUUGUAAUCCAAUGUGACCUAUUUUGAAAACACCUUGUUCUAUUCGAAAAUUCCCAAAGAUCGAUUCUUGGGAAAUGAAUUUUGCAAUCGCGAAAGUGUGAUUUUCCUUUUCCAUUAAAGUUAAAGGUAUGCCAAGAUCAAUCAAAGGUGGAUGACGAUAUGAUAUUACGAAGUGUGUACGUUUUAGUUUCUUCGGAGGAUUCCGAGGACGGAAUCCUUAUAAGGGGGGUAGAAUGUAAUAUCCCAUAUUUUUAAAUUUAGAUUUGAUUGUUAUAAAUCUAUUUGUCUAAAUAUUAUUGUUGGCUCUAGUUGAAUAUUGAUGUGAUUAUGUGAAUAGUUGUAUGUGAUUAUACUUGUGUUGUGGAUUAGUAUGGAUUUUACAGAUUAUGCAUCCUCCUUCUUUCUCUGAUUCCGAGGACGGAAUCCCUAUAAGGAGGGUAGAUUGUAAUGACCCGGAUUUUUAAAAAAAUAUUUUUAUUAGUAUUAUAAGUGGUCUUCUUAAUAAAUAAGGAAUAAGAUUUAAUAUUUUAUUCCAGUUUAAGGAGUUUUCAAAAUUUUAUAUUAAACCCCGGGUUAUUGUGUUAUUGAUAAAUGAUUAUAUUUUUAAAAUUGAUUUUCAUAUAUUGUUUCGAAAAUUCUAGAUGAUUAUUAUGUGAAUAUAUGUGUGAUGUGAGUAAUUGGUAUUGGUGGAUUUGUUGGUUAAUUAAUUAUGGUUAAUUAUGAGUAUUAUAUGAUUAAUAUAUGAAUUUUUGUUAAUUUUAUAUUAUCUGGUUUAUUGCGUUAACUGCUCAUAUGUGUUCGUAUUUGAGAGAUUUCAAUUUCUAUAUGCUCAGGAGAAAAUAUAGUUUAUUUAAAUAUGUUCAUAUCGAUUUAUGGAUGUUAUAUGAUUUUAUAAUCGAUUUACGGAUUUAAUUGCGUAUAUUUAUAUUUAUUUAUUAAUUAUUUGACUUCCGUAAAACCGUCCACUCGUAACGGGGUAGCAAAUUUUCUUCCCGGAAGUUUCAACAAAACUCACCUUUAGCCUAAUUUGAAUAUUCCGGACAUUUUUCGUGUUUUGACUUUUUAGAUCCGGAGUACGGUUUUCCCCGUAGUCGGUCCGGCGGAGUUUUGCGGGUAUUUUAAUUGUUGAUAAUUAUCUGGUUGUCUCGAUAAACGUGAAACUAGAUAUUUUGAUUCAUCCUUAUCUUGUAAUAAUUGCAGUGGGACCCGCAUACUAAUGACUGAUUAAAAAGCCCCGUUUUGAUGAUUAUCUUGAAAACCAGUACCGAUUGGACCCCGCUUUAUUAAUAUAAAGCUAUUAAAUACGUAUUUUCAUGUCAUAAACGAUCCAAAGGGGUACCAAGUAUUUGUAAAUAUAAAUAGACUUUUCUAUAGCUUAUUUUCACCGUAAAAAUCAUUUCACCAGUUUCUUUUCACGAAUACCGAGAGAAACCGAGCUGCGUUCUUCGUGUUCUUCGUAAUCAAACGAGGAUUUGAAGGUGUUAUUGGAAUCCGAUGGAGGCAUAUGAAUAGUCAAAACGAAGCUAUCGACGCGUAGAAUCAGGUUUAAGCAUCCGUUUAUGUGCAGAUUUUUCAGGAUUUGGACGAGACGUGUACGCUCGAAGACGUCAGAAAGUCGGAAUGGUAUUGCAAAGCGAAUAAGGGAUGAUUGAGUAAGCGAAGCGAAGUGGCGAAUAGAGUAUAGCUAGAGAUGGUCUAGAGAUUACGAGAUGCAUAGAUUGUGAAAGUGGAAAGAUGAGAUAGAGAUGUGAGACUGGAGUCAGAUUUAAGGCAAGUAUCCUACACCCUGCUUUUGGAUAUAUUGCAUAUUCUGAUCCAUUCUUUUCUAUAUGUGCUGCAAGUAUCCUAAACCUUUCUCUUGGAUAUAUUGCAAAUAUUCUGAUCCAUUCCUUUGGUAUAUGUUUCAAGUAUUCAUACCUUUCUUUUCAAUGUUCGAAAGUGCGAGUAUUUUGACCCAUUCUUUCUAAUCUUCAAGUUUCUAAAGAAUUUCCGUUUUACAAAUUAAUUCGAAGUUCAGAUUGUCAUUGAAGCAUGUGUUGCUCAGUGAUAGUUAGAGCUUUGAAUGAAUUGGGAUCUUCUUGAUUAUUCAACCCGCCAUUGUCAUGCUGGUUUAGCAGGCUAAAUUCAGUUGCUUAGCCGAUAAUGGAGGAUACUGAAUAGUUGAGGAUUUCCUGAACUGUGAUUUAUGAAAUGAUGGAUCAUGAUUUAUGAAUAGAUUAUUAUCAAAGUUUGAUUUGGAAUUAUUCUGUUGUUGAUGAUAUUUAUGAUGAUGUUCUGUUAAUUUACAUUGGCUUCUUGAAUUGAAUUAGAGAAUUGGAUUAUUGUUUUUAUAUAAACCUGUGGACCAGAUUCGUGGUCAUGUUAGGCCAAUGAGUGCCUUGGAUCCAGUGAUAGAGCAUGGCGGGGCCUGCUCGGGGUUAGGUAUGUCUGAUCAGCAUCCUAACCUUGGUUUUAAUUAAAAUGUGAUAGUCCAAUUCAAUAAUUCUUUUGGAAAGAUUGAAUUCCUCAGUGUUCAAUUGCUACAAGGUAUUGUGAUAUUCUUAUACAAUACCUAAACUCGUGAACUCAGGUUGAAUCCUUUUAUAUCUUGAACUCGUGAACUUCUGUUAUAUCAUUUCAGAAUUAUCAUUGUUAUUAUUACUUGCUGAGCAUUGUUGCUCACCCUUGCUAUUCCUUUCUAACCA